CAAGUCGGUCACCUUAUCGCCGUCCGGUUUGUUCCGGAGGGAGGAAAGUCCGAACACCAUAGCGCAUCAUAGUGGUUAACAGCCACCGGUCGUGAGAUCAGGAAAAGUGCAACAGAAAGUAUGUACAGGUCAUGCUGUAGUGAAAUCAGGUAAACUCUAUGUGGUGCAAUGUCAUGUAUACCAGUGUUUGAGCCUGACGCGGGCGAUGCUGGCGGGUAGACAGCUAAAGUGUAUUGGUAACAGUACACGAAGACAAAUGAUAAGGGCCCGGGAAUCCGGGUUACAGAAUUCGGCUUAUAGACCGACUUAACUU
rnacentral:RNase_P_RNA from 1 species